AAUUCGAUUAGUUUGAUCCUGGCUCAGAUUGAACGCUGGCGGCAUGCCUUACACAUGCAAGUCGAACGGCAGCACGGAGCUUGCUCUGGUGGCGAGUGGCGAACGGGUGAGUAAUAUAUCGGAACGUACCCUAGAGUGGGGGAUAACGUAGCGAAAGUUACGCUAAUACCGCAUACGAUCUAAGGAUGAAAGUGGGGGAUCGCAAGACCUCAUGCUCGUGGAGCGGCCGAUAUCUGAUUAGCUAGUUGGUAGGGUAAAAGCCUACCAAGGCAUCGAUCAGUAGCUGGUCUGAGAGGACGACCAGCCACACUGGAACUGAGACACGGUCCAGACUCCUACGGGAGGCAGCAGUGGGGAAUUUUGGACAAUGGGCGAAAGCCUGAUCCAGCAAUGCCGCGUGAGUGAAGAAGGCCUUCGGGUUGUAAAGCUCUUUUGUCAGGGAAGAAACGGUGAGAGCUAAUAUCUCUUGCUAAUGACGGUACCUGAAGAAUAAGCACCAGCUAACUACGUGCCAGCAGCCGCGGUAAUACGUAGGGUGCAAGCGUUAAUCGGAAUUACUGGGCGUAAAGCGUGCGCAGGCGGUUUUGUAAGUCUGAUGUGAAAUCCCCGGGCUCAACCUGGGAAUUGCAUUGGAGACUGCAAGGCUAGAAUCUGGCAGAGAGGGGUAGAAUUCCACGUGUAGCAGUGAAAUGCGUAGAUAUGUGGAGGAACACCGAUGGCGAAGG
rnacentral:rRNA from 1 species